AUCGUCGGCUGUGUUUACUCCCUUUGAAAACCGACUUUAAAUUAAUCCACCCAUAAUUGUUACAGAUUUGACCCACCAGGUGUGCUCUCCCAUCCACUCACUAUGGAACACGUGUUGGUAAUCUCAAAACCCUUUUUGACAAAACAUCAUGUCUCUUUAUUUUGGAAAGGAAAAAAAGAGAAAUUAAAAGAAGAAAAAACCACAAUCUCCGUCGUCAAUCUUUGAACCCUUUCUCGCUCCUAUCUCUGUCUCUCUUUAUAUUCUGACUGUUUCUCCAUUACAGUCUCUAUGCGAAGAAGACGAAAGCAAUAAUAAUACUCAUCAAACAACAACCAAAUCUCAGAGAAUUGAAAGAUUAGUGAAUCUGAGGGUUCUAUUUAUUAGGGUUUGGAAGAGAUCUGUGAGUUAGGGUAUGAAUGAAGAAAACUUGAGUUCUUAGUAAAACAUCUAGGUUUUUUUUUCCAAUUAGUUUAUUGAAGACAGAGAGAAAGUGAUUGAAGAAAUGCAACAGAGAAAACUGACAGAAGAGAGUGAGCACAUGCAGGCACUGUUAUGUGCUAUAACUUUGCGUGUGCGUGCUCACCUCUCUUUUGUCAGUUGCCUAUCCCUCUUGCUUCCUCUCUCUUCUCUCACUCUCUCUCUUUACUUACUCUUAUCUUCUUCAUCAUUUGCCUUCUUAUCAUCUUUUUUGUUGUGCACUUUGCUGGUUAUUAUAAAUGUAAAUAAGAUAAAUGCGUUUAGAUAAAUUAGUUAUGUGUUUUUUUUUCUUUCUAUUCUAUAUGUGUUGAAGUGGGUGCUUGCUUACGCAUAAGAAUGUUUGUUUUUAAGCUCUUUUGUAAAAGUUUGGUGGAGAAAAGCUCAGUGUUUUAUAGUUGGGGUUUGUAAAUAAUACAGUAAAUGUAUAUAUUGUUAAGUGUGCUCUCUAUGGUUGAUUUUUUCGAGUGGAUCUAGGGAAAGCGCGAGUUUUGAUGAUCAUGAACCCCAACCGGUUGGUACUAAUGUCAAGUGGGAAGACAUUUCAAGGAUACCUUUAUCAAAUUUCAACUUUGGAAGUGUAGAAUCAGGCAAGUCAAUUAUGUAAGCAUGUAGAAUUACUAGCCAACUUAAUUGAGAUUUCUAGCUUGAUGCUUGUGAAGAACAUCUAGAUCAUUAGCUCUGUUUGCUUCCAUUUUGGAUUUUAUAUAUACUAUGUAUAUUCUAUGUGUCAUGUGAGAUUGACAUGUGUU